rnacentral:rRNA from 1 species
UACGUAGGGUGCGAGCGUUGUCCGGAAUUAUUGGGCGUAAAGAGCUCGUAGGCGGUCUGUCGCGUCGAUCGUGAAAACUUGGGGCUUAACCCUGAGCUUGCGGUCGAUACGGGCAUGACUGGAGUUCGGCAGGGGAGACUGGAAUUCCUGGUGUAGCGGUGAAAUGCGCAGAUAUCAGGAGGAACACCGUGGCGAAGGCGGGUCUCUGGGCCGAUACUGACGCUGAGGAGCGAAAGCGUGGGGAGCAAACAGG